rnacentral:lncRNA from 1 species
UAAAAGUCACGGUUUUCCCAGUUACCUCGGGCUUCCCUCAGCACUGCUGUUGUGCAUACAUUUGUGUUCACACUUGUCUGUACACCUUAUACAGGUGUGUCCAAUGUCUACCUCAGGAGCAGAACAACGGGUUCGAGAUGCACUUGAAUCAAGUGUUUCCUGUCCUCUCUGGCCUUCCCAAGGCCACAGCUCGGGACCCAUAUUAACCUGUGCCAGGGAGAGAACGCACAAUGAAGCCGCAGCGGAGAAAGGGGCUGCCGAAUGAGCAAAUGAUGUUCAACCGAUGUUCCGACAAUCAAUUUGUCACAUGAAGAAAUUAUCCACUGAAACAGAGAACUUUAUUUCUCACACAAAAGAGGAACGAACGUGGUCUGAUCUCUGGACAGCACACUUCAGUCAUUCAAGAGGCUCCAAGGACUGAUACAGCAUCGCCUGAUACCUCAGUCUCAGCCAGUUGGCCAUGUUACAGGCUCACGUCCCCAGCGUCUUGAUAUCGUGUAAUAGAAGGCCUGACCUUGGACAGGAAAGCACCCCGAUGUUCUCCACCAGAGGCAUCUUGUUGAAGCAGACACCCCCACGUGGAUGAGCAGAUGAGACAUUGUAGGUAGAGUAUGAAAGACAUGUCACUUGCUUCACAGCCCAGUGAGAUAUAAUUCCUUACAAAUACGGAGGUGCUUAUUUCCCUCCCUAAAGCCUGUCAAAGAGGGCAAGAUAUCCUUUCCUAUGGGUGUCAUGGGCUAAAUAUUCAAUAUCGUUUUCCCGCAGUGAUCUUAGCGUGUGUAGAGUUUAAAGCUCAGCGGUGGAGAAAGCUGUGUAUGAUGCUAUAUGAAAAAAACCAAGUUUUGCAGGGAAUAGUUUUUGAAGAAAAAUGUUGAAUCUCACCCAGUAGAAGAUGAAGAACAUUUCUGGUCUAUGUCCUUCACUGCAUGACUGAAAAGUUACACUCGGUUGUGUAUUCGCCUCAGUGCAGGAUUUUUUUAUAGGAUAUAAUAGACACUUGCAGCUCCUUCACG